rnacentral:rRNA from 1 species
GAUGAACGCUGGCGGGGUGCCUAAUACAUGCAAGUCGAGCGAAUGGAUUAAGAGCUUGCUCUUAUGAAGUUAGCGGCGGACGGGUGAGUAACACGUGGGUAACCUGCCCAUAAGACUGGGAUAACUCCGGGAAACCGGGGCUAAUACCGGAUAACAUUUUGAACCGCAUGGUUCGAAAUUGAAAGGCGGCUUCGGCUGUCACUUAUGGAUGGACCCGCGUCGCAUUAGCUAGUUGGUGAGGUAACGGCUCACCAAGGCAACGAUGCGUAGCCGACCUGAGAGGGUGAUCGGCCACACUGGGACUGAGACACGGCCCAGACUCCUACGGGAGGCAGCAGUAGGGAAUCUUCCGCAAUGGACGAAAGUCUGACGGGGCAACGCCGCGUGAGUGAUGAAGGCUUUCGGGUCGUAAAACUCUGUUGUUAGGGAAGAACAAGUGCUAGUUGAAUAAGCUGACACCUUGACGGUACCUAACCAGAAAGCCACGGCUAACUACGUGCCAGCAGCCGCGGUAA